GCGUGAGUGAAGAAGGCCUUAGGGUUGUAAAGCUCUUUCAGCGGGGAAGAUAAUGACGGUACCCGCAGAAGAAGCCCCGGCUAACUCCGUGCCAGCAGCCGCGGUAAGACGGAGGGGGCUAGCGUUGUUCGGAAUUACUGGGCGUAAAGCGCGCGUAGGCGGCGAACCAAGUUGGGCGUGAAAGCCCGGGGCUCAACCCCGGAAUAGCGCUCAAAACUAGUUUGCUCGAGUCCGAGAGAGGUGAGUGGAAUUCCCAGUGUAGAGGUGAAAUUCGU
rnacentral:rRNA from 1 species